GUACUGACAUAGUGAACUCCACCUCUACACAGGUACUGACAUAGUGAACUGGACCUCUACACAGGUACUGACAUAGUGAACUGGACCUCUACACUCAGGUACUGACAUAGUGAACUGCACCUCUACACUCAGGUACUGACAUAGUGAACUCCACCUCUACACAGGUACUGACAUAGUGAACUGGACCUCUACACAGGUACUGACAUAGUGAACUGGACCUCUACACAGGUACUGACAUAGUGAACUGGACCUCUACACACAGGUACUGACAUAGUGAACUGGACCUCUACACAGGUACUGACAUAGUGAACUGGACACACAGGUACUGACAGUGAACUGCACCUCUACACAGGUACUGACAUAGUGAACUGGACACACAGGUACUGACAUAGUGAACUAGACACACAGGUACUGACAUAGUGAACUGCACCUCUACACAGGUACUGACAUAGUGAACUGGACCUCUACACAGGUACUGACAUAGUGAACUGGACCUCUACACAGGUACUGACAUAGUGAACUGGACCUCUACACAGGUACUGACAUAGUGAACUGGACCUCUACACAGGUACUGACAUAGUGAACUGGACCUCUACACACAGGUACUGACAUAGUGAACUGGACAUAGGUACUGACAUAGUGAACUGGACACAGGUACUGACAUAGUGAACUCCACCUCUACACAGGUACUGACAUAGUGAACUGGACCUCUACACAGGUACUGACAUGGUGAACUGGACCUCUACACACAGGUACUGACAUAGUGAACUGGACAUAGGUACUGACAUAGUGAACUGGACACAGGUACUGACAUAGUGAACUCCACCUCUACACAGGUACUGACAUAGUGAACUGGACCUACACAAAGGUACUGACAUAGUGAACUGGACCUCUACACAGGGACUGACAUAGUGAACUCCACCUCUACACAGGUACUGACAUAGUGAACUGGACCUCUACACAGGUACUGACAUAGUGAACUGGACCUAUACAUAGGGACUGACAUAGUGAACUGGACCUCUACACAGGUACUGACAUAGUGAACUGCACCUCUACACAGGUACUGACAUAGUGAACUGGACACACAGGUACUGACAUAGUGAACUGGACACACAGGUACUGACAUAGUGAACUGGACACACAGGUACUGACAUAGUGAACUGGACACACAGGUACUGACAUAGUGAACUGCACCUACACACAGGUACUGACAUAGUGAACUGGACACACAGGUACUGACAUAGUGAUCUGCACCUACACACAGGUACUGACAUAGUGAACUGCACCUACACACAGGUACUGACAUAGUGAACUGGACCUCUACACAGGUACUGACAUAAAGAACUGCACCUACACACAGGUACUGACAUAGUGAACUGGACCUCUACACAGGUACUGACAUAAAGAACUGCACC